GGCGCACGGGUGCGUAACGCGUGGGAAUCUGCCCUUGGGUUCGGAAUAACAUCGGGAAACUGAUGCUAAUACCGGAUGAUGACGUAAGUCCAAAGAUUUAUCGCCCAGGGAUGAGCCCGCGUAGGAUUAGCUAGUUGGUGAGGUAAAGGCUCACCAAGGCGACGAUCCUUAGCUGGUCUGAGAGGAUGAUCAGCCACACUGGGACUGAGACACGGCCCAGACUCCUACGGGAGGCAGCAGUAGGGAAUAUUGGACAAUGGGCGAAAGCCUGAUCCAGCAAUGCCGCGUGAGUGAUGAAGGCCUUAGGGUUGUAAAGCUCUUUUACCCGGGAUGAUAAUGACAGUACCGGGAGAAUAAGCCCCGGCUAACUCCGUGCCAGCAGCCGCGGUAAUACGGAGGGGGCUAGCGUUGUUCGGAAUUACUGGGCGUAAAGCGCACGUAGGCGGCGAUUUAAGUCAGAGGUGAAAGCCCGGGGCUCAACCCCGGGAACUGCCUUUGAGACUGGAUUGCUUGAACAUCGGAGAGGUGAGUGGAAUUCCGAGUGUAGAGGUGAAAUUCGUAGAUAUUCGGAAGAACACCAGUGGCGAAGGCGGCUCACUGGACGAUUGUUGACGCUGAGGUGCGAAAGCGUGGGGAGCAACAGGAUUAGAAUACCCUGGUAGUCCACGCCGUAAACGAUGAUAACUAGCUGCUGGGGUGCAUGGCAUUUAGUGGCGCAGC
rnacentral:rRNA from 1 species